UGAAGUUGUUGUAGAGUGGCCGAGAGAAAUUCUUUCGAGCUUUAUACGUUCUUGCGUUUUCUUUGGAUAAGCUGAAAUUUCUUCUCUAAUCGGUUUUCUUGCCCUUCAGAGCAGAGGAACUCUUUCUCUCGCCUAGAGUGUGAGCUUCUUUCCCUCUCCAACCUUUAGGAUGGGUGUAAAUAUGUUUUUGUGGGUUUUGUUCUUGAAAUGACAAAUCCAGAAAUUUUCAGAAAGGAAAUUCAUAUGGUGAUUUGUUUCUAUGAUUUUGUGGGUUUCAUGUGGUUGGAUGCAGGUAUCAAUUUUGGGAGCAGAUUCAAAGAGAGGCGACUUGAGGAUUAAGAGCUUUUAUAAAAGCAUUUCUUUUGUCAAGGCAAUGAAUGAACA
rnacentral:misc_RNA from 1 species